AUACUUACCUGGCUCCGAGAACCCCGUGAUCAAAAAGGCGGGGACUCCGGGUCGAGGCCCUCUCAUUGCACUCCGAGGGUGGCUGAAGCCCGCCACUAACUCAAAACGAGCUAGAUGGGGAGUGAAAUUUUUGGUAGCGGGGUGUUUGCGUUCGCGCAGCGCCCCA
rfam:Tetranychus urticae London genomic scaffold, scaffold_11